GGUCGUGUAGCUCAGUUGGUUAGAGCGCUGCAUUCACAUUGCAGAAGUCGCUGGUUCGAGUCCAGCCACGACCACCA
rnacentral:tRNA from 1 species